rnacentral:tRNA from 1 species
GGCCCCUUGGCGGAACUGGUAGACGCAAGCGACUUAAAAUCGCUCGCCUUCGGGCGUGCCGGUUCGAUUCCGGCAGGGGCCACCACCACA